UUAACUUAUUUGUGUUUUUCUCGAGAUGCCAACGCAAGAGACAAGAGUUUGUGUGCUGCCGGCGGGCGCGGACGCCCGCCGAAGCAACGUGGUAUAGUAAGGUUCACGAGGGUUGUAGGAGUCUUGCGAGUCCAGUAAUGAUCCCUCCGCUGGUUCACCAACGGAGA
rnacentral:misc_RNA from 1 species